UCGUUUGCCGCCUUUUUUUUUUGUUUCUGAAGAUUUACCUGUAAAUGAAUGAAUUACCACAACAAUAACGAGAAACUGUCCCGCCUCUGAAAUGACUGUCCUUUUUGGAUGACGUCAUGAAUCCCUAUUAUUUUUCAGCUGCUCUGCUCCAAUCAUCUCCAUUCUGCAUCUCCAGCCACACAGAUGCCUGCGGCCCAUUUGGUGAACGUCACUGUCAUCACAGUCAUUCUCACAGGAGCCCAGGGGAAUGUAAGUCACCCUCUUUAAAGACUACAGGGGAUGCCAGGUACGAAUACGCUCCGUGUCCCGGCUGACGCUUAGAAAGUGGCCCCGCCGCACCCGUGGAAUUAGACAGACAGGGUGGCACUGCAGACCGGGACGCAAUGCCACGCUGAGGUCUCUGCCAGAUCAGGCCCGGAUUAUUUGAAAUGCACUGAGCUCCUGCUGUGAUCACACGAGCAUUCAUUGGUCACGAAGAGUCGGCGCUGUCUCUAAGCAUUAAAUGUGGACCAAAUUUAGA